ensembl:lncRNA
GCGGAGAAGGUCAGACUGGAUAUGGACCGUGGGAAAGGGAUGGGGGUGAGGGUUCUCACUUAAAGAUGCCACGGGUCACUGGACAGUAGACUGUCACAACUCAUUGGAUGUCCUGUAUCGAACAACCGCCAAAUUAUUAUUUUUCCCAUUACCUAGCCUAGUUGAAGCUCAUUUUGUUUGGAAAAUAUCAACCAAGUGCUUCAGUUUCAAACACAUGAGCAUACUGCCAAAUGCCAUAAUCAAGAUUUAGAGGUAUGGAUGUGUGUGGAGAUAGGCUCCACCCUCCCCACAAAGUCACAUUUGAAUACAGUUGAGAACAUUCUCUUUUUCUUUGUUAGCACUUUAUCCAGCAGAAAGAUAUGAUUGUUGUUCUUGCUGUGUUUCAGUUUAUAAAUUAUGUUAAAACACCUUUUACAGAAUAGGAAUAUUGUUUACCCAAAACAGAAACAUCCAGAAAAUAGCAGCCAACAGUUCUAAUGCAAAUGAUGGAGGCCUUAACACUGAAGAGCAUUGUGAGGAAUAACUGUUUGACGUUGGAAAUGUUUUAUUGAGUAACUCUUUUUAUUCUAAAUUUAUUUUAUUUUGUCAAUUUUUUUUACUUUUCCCCUCCUACCUUCCACCUCGGAAUGACCCAAAAUAUGGCCUACGAGUAUAUAAUUAUUUUUAUGUUUUUUUAAUUUUGAUUUUCCUAUUGAGCUUUCUUUAUUGGUUCUUCAGGAAAGACUAAACUUCGGUUAAAAUGUACAUUCCAUACACUGUAUAUUCGUAGGCCUAUUUGAAUAGUGGAAAUCCCAGAAGAUUUGCAUAACUGGUGGGAAAGAUAUGAUGUGUACACAUACUCUCUAACUGUCCCUGGGCAACUGCAGAUUUCCGAUACCAUGUAAAGCAGACCUGUUGAGAGCUGUUAGUGAACUAUAGACCAGUGUUUAGAAAAUGAUGGCAUGUGUUUAUUUGCAUUAAUCUUAGAUAGUUCAAAAAAAGAAUGAGUGUACACAUAACAGGUUUGAAAACCAUUGCUUUAGCCUCCUCAAGUUCUGAGCUUUUCUCUGAGCAGAUGAGUGCUACGAUGAGCAUUAAUUAUAUGUUUUGCUUCGCAUACUUUUGCAAACACAGUUGAGCUAAUAUAUGGUAAGAGAGCUGAGGCAAUUGUGCUCCUCUCUAGAGCAUUCCAAAGACUGAGGUCAACUUAUCAAUCGAAACAACACAUGGUGCUUCCCCAUCCAAUAAUGCACAUUCAGGUGAAACUAAUUUUAACAGUGGCUCAAAGAGUCUGACCCAAUCACAUGCCCCUCUAGGUUGUAUCAGCACAUUAAAAAGAUAACACAACCUCAUAGUUUGGUAGUGAUUACUUCUCGGUCUGUACUCGGUCUGUCCAAUUAUGACAUUUCCUUUUUUGCUCACCCAACUUUGAUUAAUUUUUUCGGCUCAAUUUAAUAAAA